rnacentral:rRNA from 1 species
AGCUCCAAUAGCGUAUAUUAAACUUGUUGCGGUUAAAAAGCUCGUAGUUGGAUUUCUGCUGAGGACGACCGGUCCACCCUCUGGGUGAGCAUCUGGCUCUGCCUUGGCAUCUUCUUGGGGAACGUAGCUGCACUUGACUGUGCGGCGCGGUACCCAGGACUUUUACUUUGAGGAAAUUAGAGUGUUUCAAGCAGGCACACGCCUUGAAUAUAUUAGCAUGGAAUAAUAAGAUAGGAUCUCGGUUCUAUUUUGUUGGUUUCUAGAACUGAGAUAAUGAUUAAUAGGAACUGCUGGGGGCAUUCGUAUUUAACUGUCAGAGGUGAAAUUCUUGGAUUUGUUAAAGACGAACUACUGCGAAAGCAUUUGCCAAGGAUGUUUUCAUUGAUCAAGAACGAAAGUA